rnacentral:rRNA from 1 species
UACGGGGGGGGCAAGCGUUGUUCGGAAUUACUGGGCGUAAAGGGCUCGUAGGUGGCCAACUAAGUCAGACGUGAAAUCCCUCGGCUUAACCGAGGAACUGCGUCUGAUACUGGAUGGCUUGAGUUUGGGAGAGGAAUGCGGAAUUCCAGGUGUAGCGGUGAAAUGCGUAGAUAUCUGGAGGAACACCGGUGGCGAAGGCGGCAUUCUGGACCAAUACUGACGCUGAGGAGCGAAAGCCAGGGGAGCAAACGGG